GACGAACGCUGGCGGCGUGCUUAACACAUGCAAGUCGAACGUGAAUGGUGUGGAAUUUCUUUCGGGAAUGGAGCUGCAAAGAAAGGGGUAAACGGUGGAGUAACACCUUAGCAGCCUACCUUAAACAGGGGGAUAGCCGGCGGAAACGACAUUUAAUCCUGCAACACACGACAGAAUCGCGAGAUAUAGGGGUCAAAGAUUUAUUGGUGUAAGAGGGGCGCGCUUCUGAUUUGCUAGUUGGAAGGGUAAAGGCCUACCAAGGCGACGAUCAGUAUCCGGGCUGGGAGGAUGAACGGCCACAUUGGAACUGAGACCCGGACGAAACUCCUACGGGAGGCAGAAGGGCGGAAUAUUGCACAAUGGGGGGAACCAUGAUGCUGCGACGUCGCGUGAGCGAAGAAGGUUUUCGAAACGUAAAGCUCUGUCGUAUGAGAAGAUAAUGACGGUAUCAAAGGAGGAAGCCCCGGCUAACUACGUG
rnacentral:rRNA from 1 species